rnacentral:lncRNA from 1 species
ACCACGCAUGCGCGGGGCUGGGAGCUUAGCGGGGCGCGCGGCUGCAGCAGUCUGGGCAGACCGCCUCGGCCUCGCCCGGUGCCGGCUGCGGCCGCCCCCGCCCCAGCGCGGCGGCCGGGCUCACACUAGUCCCCUCCCAGCCACCCGGAACCCGGCAGCCCGGCCAGACCCGCCGAGGCCGCGACGCCGGUGUCGACAGCGGCUGCGACGGCCCUGGGAGCGCGUGAGGCUCCGGGGUCGCGGCGGCGAUUGGCCGGCCGCGGCGCCCGCUCCCAGAAUGCAGCGCAUGGCGCGUCAUUGAAGAGAGACCAUGAUGGCGGCGGCGCUGGGGCCCCCAGAAGUGAUCGCUCAGCUGGAGAACGCGGCUAAAGUUCUGAUGGCACCACCUUCCAUGGUCAAUAAUGAACAACGCCAGCAUGCAGAGCACAUAUUCUUAUCAUUUAGGAAAUCAAAAUCACCAUUUGCAGUUUGCAAGCAUAUUUUGGUUCUUCAUGCUUUGGAAGUAACAGUUGAAGAGAGGUGAGGAAAGUUUGUGAAAAUUGUGAUCGGUGAUUAGCUGCCACCUGCCUGAGGUGUCUUCUGAGAGGAACUAACCUCUUUGUGGUGCUAGAGCAAGGUCACUGGAUAAAAAAAAGAACAGAAACUAGUAAAGUGGACUAUGUCCUCUUUCAAGCUGCCACAGCCAUAAUGGAAGCAGUUGUCCGAGAGUGGAUUCUCUUGGAAAAAGGUAGCAUCGAGUCUCUGCGAACAUUCCUUUUAACCUAUGUCUUACAAAGGCCCAACCUUCAAAAGUAUGUUCGGGAACAGAUUCUACUAGCAGUAGCAGUAAUUGUAAAAAGAGGAUCAUUAGAUAAAUCAAUUGACUGCAAAAGCAUUUUUCAUGAAGUCAGCCAGUUGAUUAGUAGUGGCAAUCC